rnacentral:rRNA from 1 species
UACAGAGGGUGCGAGCGUUAAUCGGAAUUACUGGGCGUAAAGCGCACGUAGGCGGCUUUGCAAGUCGGGUGUGAAAUCCCCGGGCUCAACCUGGGAACUGCAUCCGAGACUGCAUUGCUAGAGUAUGGGAGAGGGAAGCGGAACUCCGAGUGUAGAGGUGAAAUUCGUAGAUAUUCGGAAGAACACCAGUGGCGAAGGCGACUCACUGGCCCGAUACUGACGCUGAGGCGCGAAAGCGUGGGGAGCAAACAGG